UCUCUCUCUGCUGGACGGAUUUUUGCGCGCGCGAUCCUUCGUGAAAUAUUUCGAAAUACCGUAUAAAAUCGUCGAAGUCCUCUUCCAGAUUGAAAUUCGUACAUCGAUCCGCGCUCGUUUCGAAACGUGCAUAUAGCAGAGUUUCCGUUUUCUCGGCGAAAUACAUUGCGAAUCUGGCGUUGUCGGAGUUCGAUAAAACAUGUUGCGUGUGGUUAGGUUUCAUACAGCCCACGCGUGUAUCCUGAAUUUUUCGCCGGUACGUCCGCGUUUUCCGGUUCACGCGUCAUACGUGUAGUCAUGUUUCUUCGGAGAAAGAGAGAGAGAGAGAGAGAGAAAGGGAGGGGGAAGAGUCGAGCUGCAUUGGACACGCCGUAUUUACAUUUACUAUAACGCUACACCAUUACGUGAACCGUCGCUUUCCAUUGGGUCGCUCUCUUAUCUUUCCCUGGUCGAGUUCCGUAGACACGGUCUCUAUAUAUUCGCCGAAGAUGGCUGGAUUAUGCCGACAGAAAAUAUUGUAUAAAGUUAUUGUUAUAAAGUUAUUAUUGUAUAAAGUUAAGCGAGACGAAGAAAGGUCGCUCUGUUCGAAGCGUUCGAAGAAGACAAAGGCUCGCGGAUACACGCGAUAGUACUCGUACCCGGUAUUCGGGUCAAUGUUACGUCCUUACAGGCGAUAUACCCAGAGGCAGCGGUUACCCUUGUCGGAAUUAACUCGCCCGUAUCAGGAAGUCGUUCACUCUCUCGGCGGCGCGCGUCGCGAGCGAUUCGCGCACAUAAUUCCCUGGAAGACGCGUCGUCGGUGGAAAGGUUAUGUCACGCGGCACGGUGAAAGACAAGGCUUAUAGCAAUAACAAUGAGCGUUGGCCGUGCACUUGAGCCGAGGAUCGCACCAAUCACACCUCGUGAAUCCGUUUUGGUUCGAACGUAACCGGUUACGCGAAUAAAUCGUGGAUUCUUUCCGCGAAUGCAUCGCUCGAAUAAAAAAUGGAUCGAGUCACACCUUGACGUCCGGUCGUCGACUUUUUAUCGUACAACUUAAUAGAAAGCGUUUUCAACUUGAAACGGAAUUAAACGUUAAGGGAAACGAGAUGAUGAACGUGAAUAUGCCGCGGAGCGCUCGUGGACGUUGACGUACUGCGCUCUUUUUAAAAAACCAAGGUCUCCAUUAUCCUCAGAUCCCGCUGUCCAAUGUCUGCUUUCCCGUCUCGGUGGUCGCAGAAAUUACAGCCGUUCAAAAGUUGCAAGAAAACUCGAUUUCAUUUGCGAGCGAGGCGCGAAGCUGAUCCGUCAAUAUCGGAACCGUUGAGUCAUGCAGUACACGCGAUAUAAAGUAUAAAUCAAUCAUCCUGCGGCACGGCGUCCAUUCUCGGUGAUGUAAUUCGCAUUACAAUCACAAUGCGAUCGUGGACAGCCAUGAAAUUAGCGGCUGUCCGGAAUGACCGCAGCUCUUAUUCGCGUAUAUAAUCAACGCCGCCUUCAGCGAUGCCUGAAGCUACAGGUCUGAUCUCGGUGAAAUCAAUCAACAGGUUCAUUUAGUUUACAUCUUUUAUAUAUAUAUAUAUAUAUCUAUAUAAACAAGUUGUACAGUACAGAACGUAUGGAUACGCGAACACGAGCGUCUCUUGUACGCUGGCAAACGAGCUUCACGAUCAAUGAAAUACGCCGCGUAAUUACAGGUAAUUAUGGUUCCGUUGUUUCAACGACGUUAAGCUAGCAUAUAAAAUUACAAAAAUCGUCGAUUUACAUGGUAAAUCAAUUUGCAUCGUGGAAGCUGGUCCUGGCAAGAUGGCAACCGCGCGACGCCUUCUCAAAUAACAGUAGGAAGGACAUCCCUAAGCGGCACGGCGAAUAUUUUCAAAUUAUUUUUGAAACAUCUAUAGCGGGGAAAGCUCGGAUUCUCCGCCUUAAACUAUUCCGAUACGCCCAACGCUAGGAUCAUCAAUUAUUUCUCAUUAUUCGUUAGCUCGCAGUAAAUAGCGGACAGGAAAGAUGCGUUAUUCUUCUGGACAUAUGGUAGCUGCGACAAAUUAUUUGCGGGCUGCGCGUACAGAGACGUGGAUCGCCGAAGCGAUUGGUUGGUUUAAUGGUAGUAUUGGUAAGCCGGCGAGAUGGUUUUUUGGUAAACGGGAAUGGCUGCGUGGGCCACGGUUGGGGCCAGAGUUUUGCCGAUCACUGGGACGGAGCUGUGGACUUGCACGUGGUCGAGACGAGCGGUCUUGAUUAGGGUCGGUUGCUGCACGGAGACCCUCUCGAUCUUGGUCGCUGGUUCAACGACAUUUAAUUCCUGGAGGGUUUCGAUAGGCCUGGUGACGACCACGCGUCUCGUCGACACUCGCUCGUCGGCUGGCUCCGCGUUGUCCGGAGCCGGAGUCGCGGAUAGAACGCGGCCUCUCACGCGGCUGACGUCCUCCAGGGCAGAGUUCACGAGCCCCGAUCGACCGAAUCCAACCUAAACAGGCAAUUUGCGUUCGAGUAAUGCGAUCUAGAAGUUGAGUAGAGAUUGGGUUCUAAUGUACCUCGGCGACGUUGCCGCGCGCGGUGAGCAGCUCGAGCAGCCUGUUCUGAUUGGUCUUGUCCUCUUCGGGGGUGGAGUUGGGACUGACGAUUACGUUGGGCGAGGGGUCAUGUGCCACGAAAGGCUCGUUGCCGACACCGUUGUUGAUGGUUCUCACCUGCGUGCUCUGUCCGCUGACCUAACGAUCAAGGAGAAAAGAUCUAAUAACUUCCCAUUAUGGUAUAAUCUGGUCGCGCGGCUCGAUAGAGCGAUACCUGCUGCGCCAAUUGUUGGUCCUGUUGCAGCUGACGGAAGUCGGGAUUCUCAACAACAACGCUCUCAUCGUUGGAGCCGGAGGUAGGCGGGAAGGAAGCUCCAGGGGCAGCGAGAGGCGGAGCGAUCGUCGAGGGAGCGAAGUUGUAGAUACCUUGGAUGUGAUGAGGAUUGUACGGUUGGAUCAGAGCUGGGCCCUUCUGGACCUUGGAGGUCGGUUGGUCCAGCUCGAGCACCGCUGACCCGGCUGGCCGCACCACCACGCGUUCCUCGAUGUCGUAGAAUUGUUUCUGGAUCGCUGGACGGCGCACCUAUCAGCAAACGAAUUUGGUCAUUUUGAUCCUGAUGUUUCGAUUCUAAGGUCGAACGAUGCGUAAACCACCGGCUGAGCCUCGAUCUUGGUCACCGGAACGUGGGACACCGUUGGAAUAUGUUUGACAAAUGGCACCGCCGCGACCGCCGGUACCUGGGCGGCGGUGUAGCCGACGUGGUGAGCCUCGAUGUUGGCAGGAUACGAGCCGUAAGUGAGACCGUGAGGCUCCACGUUGUCGAUGUAAGUAACACCUGCCGGGCUCAGGUACGGCAUCCGGAUGGACACUGUGCUACCAUGGCCGCCUUGCAACAGCGCCGCCGCUACUACCACGAAUACGAUUGCUGUCUGCUGCAUCCUGGACGAUGAACAUCGAAACAGCACGUUUAAACGAUGCAUAUUAAGAAUACAAAAGUGUAUACAUGAAGUACAGUGACUCCCGUUGAUGUUCGGACACUUAUCAAAACGCGAUAACUUUUUAAUCUUUUAUUAUCAAUCCUUUGCACUCGAAACCAUAUUAACUGUAAAUU